GACGGCCGCCGGGGAGGCCUUGCGCCCCCGGGCCCGCGCCCGCCGAAGACCCCAACAUGAACGCUGUUCUGAAAGUAUGCAGUCUGAGUUGAUUAUCGUAAUCAGUUAAAACUUUCAACAACGGAUCUCUUGGUUCCGGCAUCGAUGAAGAACGCAGCGAAAUGCGAUAAGUAAUGUGAAUUGCAGAAUUCAGUGAAUCAUCGAGUCUUUGAACGCACAUUGCGCCCCCUGGUAUUCCGGGGGGCAUGCCUGUCCGAGCGUCAUUGCUGCCCUCAAGCACGGCUUGUGUGUUGGGCCCCCGUCCCCCUCUCCCGGGGGACGGGCCCGAAAGGCAGCGGCGGCACCGCGUCCGGUCCUCGAGCGUAUGGGGCUUUGUCACCUGCUCUGUAGGCCCGGCCGGCGCCAGCCGACACCCAACUUUAUUUUUCUAAGNGUUGACCUCGGAUCAGGUAGG
rnacentral:misc_RNA from 1 species